AGUGAACGCUGGCGGCAGGCCUAAUACAUGCAAGUCGAACGGCAGCACAGCAGAGCUUGCUCUGUGGGUGGCGAGUGGCGGGACGGGUGAGGAAUACGUGGGAAUCUGCCCAGUCGUGGGGGAUAACGUAGGGAAACUUACGCUAAUACCGCAUGCGCCCUUCGGGGAAAGCCGGGGACCUUCGGGCCUGGCGCGAUUGGAUGAGCCCACGUCGGAUUAGCUAGUUGGCGGGGUAAAGGCCCACCAAGGCGACGAUCCGUAGCUGGUCUGAGAGGAUGAUCAGCCACACUGGAACUGAGACACGGUCCAGACUCCUACGGGAGGCAGCAGUAGGGAAUAUUGGACAAUGGGCGCAAGCCUGAUCCAGCCAUGCCGCGUGAGUGAAGAAGGCCCUCGGGUUGUAAAGCUCUUUUGUCCGGAAAGAAAGCGCCGGGUUAAUACCCUGGUGUCCUGACGGUACCGGAAGAAUAAGCACCGGCUAACGUUCGUGCCAGCAGCCGCGGUAA
rnacentral:rRNA from 1 species